rnacentral:RNase_P_RNA from 1 species
UCAGACGGUCGGACGGCCGCUGGUUCCGGUUUCGGCCGGGGCUGGAGGAAAGUCCGGGCUCCACGAGAACACGGUGCCGGGUAACACCCGGCGGGGGCGACCCCAGGGACAGUGCCACAGAGAGGAGACCGCCGGGGUUCGCCCCGGCAAGGCUGAAAGGGUGCGGUAAGAGCGCACCGCGCGGAGGGUAACCCGAGCGGCAAGGUAAACCCCACCGGGAGCAAGACCGCAUAGGGGCGGCGUGCUGCGGCUUCGGCUGCGGCAGGGCAGGAAGCGGCCCAGUCGCCCGGG